GGCCAGUUGCCGCUCGCAGCGUCACGGAGCGACGGGGCGGGCGGCCAAUCGGCGGCGCCUCAUUGAAAAGAAAAAAGGAGAGGAGGGGGCGAAGCGGGGAGGCGGCGGUGGGCGGGGCGCGGGGCUCGCGCGGGCCCGCCGGGCGCGCAGGGAGGGGCGCGCAUGCGCGGUGGCGGCCAGGGCUGGCGGCAGGGAGGGCCGUUUUCGCCGCGAAUACCUGCAUUAAUGAGGCUCGCCGCCGCCAUCCUGCCCCCCUGCGACUCGGUGCCGCUGCCAGAAAUUUCCAGGAGGCUCCGGGCGGCUCGGCGGGAGCCCCCGGGGAGGCCGCGCGGCCCCGUUUCGGCCUCGCCGGAGGAGAGGAGGGCGGCGAGGAAGGCGAAAGCCCGGAGACGCGGCGUUUCGGCUCCGAGCGACGCCGCGGGAAGAGCCGUUCCCGGUGUUGUUCAUCCCGCCGGCAGACUCCGGAGCCGCUCGGUUGUACUGGGCCGGGCCGUAGCAGCCCAGGACGAGUGGCGAGACGCUGGGCUCCCGCCGGUGUUAAUCAUUCGCCCGCCGAGGGCGGGGGCCGCGGUGGCACCGCCGAAAAUGCGGGCAGUUCUUCUCGGCCGCCCCGCCGUUAAUGAUUGACCGGGCCGCGGUUCGCUGCCCCGCUGCGAUAAGCUUCGGCGAUGGGGCAGCGCCGUGAAGAGGGGGGGCAGGAUCCAUCGGGGCCUCCUGCCCCGAUUCGGCACCCGAAGGAGAGGGGUGGGUGCUGGGGGGGCUCCGUGCCCCCCCCACACGUUAUGGGGAUGCCCGUGAGCGACUCGCGUGAGCCCCACCAAAAAGAAAUCCUUUAAUAGAGAGCGAUAAUGAAACGAUA